rnacentral:lncRNA from 1 species
UUCUAACCUUCAGUCUUGUAUGCCAUUUCUUUAACUCUGCUUCAUUCCAUGUAAUUUCUUCAGAUUUCUCUUUCAAUCUACUAGAUAUACGUGCAGGUGGCUCUUUUCCCAACCUUGGAUAGAUUGCUCACAGUGGAAGUAUUCCUCCCUCUGGAACUAAGACAUCUAGUCCAGAAGAGCGUAAAGUCAUGCAAACAGGAAGCAAAAGUUUUGCCACUCGGUUAUUAUGGGUAAUAAUGAGUGGUGCCAAUCCCGUUUUCACUCCUUGAUUUCUGGACCUGUGAAUUCUGGCUGUGGAAGAAACAGGUUGGAUGCUGAUUUAGAGCAUAUACAGCCUUCUGGAGAAUCUUACCUCACCCCUACAAGGUAUUGCCACCUAGCUGGCAUUUUGAGUCUUCAGUGGAUCAUUGCAGUGUUCUGUCAAACUAGCUGCUUCAGGAUGAUGGAGAAUACGGUAAGACUAGUGAAUUCCAUGAGUAUGGGCCCGUUACCAUAUUUAUUUUGAUCUUAAGUGAGUUUGCUGAUUAGAUGCAAUGCUGUGUGAAAAUUAUGACAGUGCGUAAGUCAUUCUGUAAGUCCAUUGGUG